GCCUGAUGGCCGAGCGACUAAGGCUGUGGUUCUCGGAGCCACAGGUUUCGGGUUCGAGUCCCGGUGGUGGCA